rnacentral:rRNA from 1 species
GAUGAACGCCGGCGGUGUGCCUAAUACAUGCAAGUCGUACGCACUGGCCCAACUGAUUGAUGGUGCUUGCACCUGAUUGACGAUGGAUCACCAGUGAGUGGCGGACGGGUGAGUAACACGUAGGUAACCUGCCCCGGAGCGGGGGAUAACAUUUGGAAACAGAUGCUAAUACCGCAUAACAACAAAAGCCGCAUGGUUUUUGUUUGAAAGAUGGCUUUGGCUAUCACUCUGGGAUGGACCUGCGGUGCAUUAGCUAGUUGGUAAGGUAACGGCUUACCAAGGCGAUGAUGCAUAGCCGAGUUGAGAGACUGAUCGGCCACAUUGGGACUGAGACACGGCCCAA